GUUAACUCGGUAAUAUUCGUGUCAUUUGGGACAACCACUACAUUUUCACAAGAGCAAGCCAAUGAGCUCGCACUUGGUUUAGAACAGAGCAACCAUAAAUUUAUAUGGGUAAUAAGAGAGGCAGAUGAUAAAAGGUUGGACGCGGAGGAUAAUUCCGAGGGGAAAGAUGGGAAGGUUGUAUUGCCAGAAGGAUUUGAAGAAAGAGUGGAAGGAAGAGGAAUGGUUGUUAGAAAUUGGGCGCCUCAAUUGGAAAUUU
rnacentral:misc_RNA from 1 species